AACGGCUACCACAUCCAAGGAAGGCAGCACGCGCGCAAAUUACCCAAUCCCGACACGGGGAGGAAGUUGUUGCAGUUAAAAAGCUCGUAGUUGAACCUUGGGCCUGGCUGGCCGGUCCACCUCACCGUGAGAACUGGUCCGGCCGGGUCUUUCCUUCUGGCUAACCUCAUGCCCUUCACUGGGUGUGUUGGGGAACCAGGACUUUUACUUUGAAAAAAUUAGAGUGUUCAAAGCAGGCAUUUGCUCGAAUACAUUAGCAUGGAAUAAUAGAAUAGGACGUGCGGUUCUAUUUUGUUGGUUUCUAGGACCGCCGUAAUGAUUAAUAGGGAUAGUCGGGGGCAUCCGUAUUCAAUUGUCAGAGGUGAAAUUCUUGGAUUUAUUGAAGACGAACUACUGCGAAAGCAUUUGCCAAGGAUGUUUUCAUUAAUCAGGAACGAAAGUUGAGGGAUCGAAGACGAUCAGAUACCGUCGUAGUCUCAACCAUAAACUAUGCCGACUAGGGAUCGGGCGAUGUACUUUUCGUGACUCGCUCGGCACCUUACGAGAAAUCAAAGUCUUUGGGUUC
rnacentral:rRNA from 1 species